rnacentral:rRNA from 1 species
AUUGAACGCUGGCGGCAGGCCUAACACAUGCAAGUCGAACGCGUGGCGGACGGGUGAGUAAUGUGUGGGAAAGUGCCUGAUGGGGGGGGAUAACUACUGGAAACGGUAGCUAAUACCGCAUACUAUCAGAUGUGCCCAGAUGGGAUUAGCUAGGAGGUGGGGUAAUGGCUCACCUAGGCGACGAUCCCUAGCUGGUCUGAGAGGAUGACCAGCCACACUGGAACUGAGACACGGUCCAGACUCCUACGGGAGGCAGCAGUGGGGAAUAUUGCACAAUGGGCGCAAGCCUGAUGCAGCCAUGCCGCGUGUGUGAAGAAGGCCUUCGGGUUGUAAAGCACUUUCAGCGGGGAGGCGUUACCCGCAGAAGAAGCACCGGCUAACUCCGUGCCAGCCGCCGCGGUAAUAC